rnacentral:rRNA from 1 species
UACGGAAGGUCCGGGCGUUAUCCGGAUUUAUUGGGUUUAAAGGGAGCGCAGGCUGGCUUUUAAGCGUGACGUAAAAUGUGGAUGCUCAACAUCCGAGCUGCGUCGCGAACUGGAGGCCUUGAGUGAGUACGACGGAGGCAGAAUUCGUGGUGUAGCGGUGAAAUGCUUAGAUAUCACGAAGAACCCCGAUUGCGAAGGCAGCCUCCGAGUCCUUUACUGACGCUAAGCUCGAAAGUGCGGGUAUCGAACA